CCUACGGGGGGCAGCAGUGGGGAAUAUUGGACAAUGGGCGCAAGCCUGAUCCAGCCAUGCCGCGUGUGUGAAGAAGGCCUUUUGGUUGUAAAGCACUUUAAGCGAGGAGGAGGCUCUUUAGGAUAAUACCCUGAAUGAGUGGACGUUACUCGCAGAAUAAGCACCGGCUAACUCUGUGCCAGCAGCCGCGGUAAUACAGAGGGUGCGAGCGUUAAUCGGAAUUACUGGGCGUAAAGCGCGCGUAGGCGGUUAUGUAAGUUGGAUGUGAAAUCCCCGGGCUUAACCUGGGCACUGCAUUCAAAACUGCAUAGCUAGAGUAUGGGAGAGGAAGGUAGAAUUCCAGGUGUAGCGGUGAAAUGCGUAGAGAUCUGGAGGAAUACCGAUGGCGAAGGCAGCCUUCUGGCCUAAUACUGACGCUGAGGUGCGAAAGCAUGGGGAGCAAACAGGAUUAGAUACCCCAGUAGUC
rnacentral:rRNA from 1 species